UGUGGAACAGAAGCCGAUGAAUCCUGCAGUAGGUGAAGAUUCUCAAACAAUUAGUUCUUGCACCUGCAAGUUAUUCUGUUACACAUCUCCCAUGUGUCUGAAAUAUUUCAAGUUUGUUUCCAGGUGUCAUCAGUAAGUGAUUCAUGUAUAUAUAAUUCCAUUGACAACCUUAGAAUCACUGCAACUCAGAGGUAUGUCCUUACCAUUCUUUCCUCUAUUUUUUUGG
rnacentral:misc_RNA from 1 species